CAUGAUGAUGAUGACGAUGAUGAAACCCUCACCGGUCGAGACAGUGAGCUCCAAGAUGAACCCAGGCCUUCCCCAGCCGGCAAGAAGACUACAUCUGCUGGACGAAGUGAACCUGACCUGCAUGACCCACCAACAUAACCAUUUUAUUUUCAAUGCCUCAAUUUCCUUUUAUUAUAUUU